GACCACUUGAUGUGGCAUGUUACAUGUAGUCUCUGAUGUGGCGUGUGAAGACAAAAAUAAAAAACAAUUUCCUUCUUCCCGUGUCAAUUUCUUCUUGUCUGAUUUCUAAACUAUUGAAAUCCAUCUGAAAAUUGAAACCCAGCCACCUGCAUCCACUUGCCCCAACCCUCACGGUGCUGACUACCACCAUACUCAGCCCCAUUCCUUCUUCCCGACUGAUUUUCUUUUUCUCUGGCGUGUAAAUAAUCGAAACCCAUUUGAAAGACAGAAACCCACCCAUUUGCCACCUACAUCCACCUAUCCCCACCCCUACGGCGUCGACCACCACCAUACUCAGCCCCAUUCCUUCUUCCACUUUUGGCAAGAUAAUCGUGGUAUUUGUGCUUAUUAAUAAUUUCUAUUGCAAAUGAACAUCUUUUCUUGUUGUUAGCCAUUGCUGAAUGUGAUUUAGUAGCAAUCUUUUAAUAGUACUAGUUCCUGGUUUGAAGUCAGGUUCUGUUAUGAGGAAAUGCUGGUAUUUAGAAAUCAUAUUGAUGCGUGCUAUUCUAUUUUGAGACGAACUUAUAAUGAAAACUUGAACUAUGCUAGCUAAAACAGAGAGAUCUUGAGUAUGUAGCUCAAAAUGCUGAGGUUGAUUUGAUCAAAAUUAUAGUAGCUUGUGGGAAUAUUGCAAACGUAUUAUGUAACAUUGUCUUAAAUCUGAUUUGAGUUUUACAUUGAUAAUAUUCUAGUCUACAAAUUUGAGGUGGUGACCUGACUUCUUAAAGGCUAGCACCUUCAUGCUUAUAGUUGAAAGUUGGGACUUCUUCAUGAAUAUUCUGCUCAACAGAUUAGGCUUUGUUUUUUUUUUAAGAAUUUAUGAUUGUGAGGUUGCUUUACUGUAGAUCUUCAUGGAUAUCUCUGCAACAAACAAAAGUUCAUGUAAUAAAACAUCCCUUGUUGAUUGUUGUGUGAAAGUAAAAUAAUACCUUGUUGGACUGUGAGUAGUGAGUGCCUGAGGUUGGUGUUUCUAAAUUGAAAUCCCUAAUACAAAAUUUAUAAAUUUGUUUCUAUUGCCAAGAAAAUGGAGAAAUAGAAAAUAAUAAUUCUCAAUAUUUGUUGAUAUGCAUAAAGGAGUUGUCACUUAUCAAGAAAAGUUAGACCAAAUUACAGUGAGUAGCACACAACAUGAGGCUCCACAAACCCAGGUAUCCUGGCUACAUGCUCAAGGAAACCAAGUUUGGACACAUGCACCGGAAUUUUUUUCUACUCCCUCAAUUGCUCAUCCACCUCCAGUACAAGCGCAACCUAUGCGAUUGAAUCUCUCGAAUCAGGAUUAUCUAUAUUAGCGUAGAUGGUGGCAGCCAUGAUAGUGUUGUAUAUAUGAUGGUGUUGUCUAGCAUAGGUGCUUUUUGUGUAGAAAGUAUUUUGAACACUUAUUGUUGGGCGUUUGUUGUAAAUGAAGUACUUUUUUUUUUAAUGCUCCUAUCUUUGAUGUUCUUUGAAGUCCAUAGUAUGAGAAUGUUGUAUUUAGGACGUGCUUUUGAGAUUGCAUUGAGGACGAAGUCCAUAGCUUUUAUAAUGCAUGUGUAGAAUGAAGCAAAUUUUUGAGUGAACUUGCUGAUUUUUGAGUGAAUGCAAUAUAUUUUUAAUGCA